rnacentral:rRNA from 1 species
UGGGGAAUAUUGCACAAUGGGCGCAAGCCUGAUGCAGCCAUGCCGCGUGUAUGAAGAAGGCCUUCGGGUUGUAAAGUACUUUCAGCGGGGAGGAAGGGAGUAAAGUUAAUACCUUUACUCAUUGACGUUACCCGCAGAAGAAGCACCGGCUAACUCCGUGCCAGCAGCCGCGGUAAUACGGAGGGUGCAAGCGUUAAUCGGAAUUACUGGGCGUAAAGCGCACGCAGGCGGUUUGUUAAGUCAGAUGUGAAAUCCCCGGGCUCAACCUGGGAACUGCAUCUGAUACUGGCAAGCUUGAGUCUCGUAGAGGGGGGUAGAAUUCCAGGUGUAGCGGUGAAAUGCGUAGAGAUCUGGAGGAAUACCGGUGGCGAAGGCGGCCCCCUGGACGAAGACUGACGCUCAGGUGCGAAGGCGUGGGGAGCAAACAGG